GACGAAGGAUGCAAGCGUUAUCCGGAUUCAUUGGGCUUAAAGGGCGCGUAGGUGGCCUUAUAAGUCAGUGGUGAAAUCUCGCAGCUUAACUGCGAAAUUGCCAUUGAUACUGUAGGGCUUGAGUAUAGUUGCCGUUGGCGGAAUAUGACAUGUAGUGGUGAAAUACAUAGAGAUGUCAUAGAACACCGAUUGCGAAGGCAGCUAACGAAACUAUAACUGACACUGAGGCUCGAAAGUGCGGGGAUCAAACAGG
rnacentral:rRNA from 1 species